AGUGAACGCUGGCGGUAGGCCUAACACAUGCAAGUCGAACGGCAGCACAGUAAUAGCUUGCUCUUACGGGUGGCGAGUGGCGGACGGGUGAGGAAUACAUCGGAAUCUACUUUUUCGUGGGGGAUAACGUAGGGAAACUUACGCUAAUACCGCAUACGACCUACGGGUGAAAGCAUGGGAUCUUCGGACCUUGCGCGAUUGAAUGAGCCGAUGUCGGAUUAGCUAGUUGGCGGGGUAAAGGCCCACCAAGGCGACGAUCCGUAGCUGGUCUGAGAGGAUGAUCAGCCACACUGGAACUGAGACACGGUCCAGACUCCUACGGGAGGCAGCAGUGGGGAAUAUUGGACAAUGGGCGCAAGCCUGAUCCAGCCAUGCCGCGUGGGUGAAGAAGGCCUUCGGGUUGUAAAGCCCUUUUGUUGGGAAAGAAAAGCAGCAGGUUAAUACCCCGCUGUUCUGACGGUACCAAAAGAAUAAGCACCGGCUAACUUCGUG
rnacentral:rRNA from 1 species